rnacentral:tRNA from 1 species
GUUUUGGUAGUUUAGAAAGAACAUGGCGGUGAAGUUGCUAAAGUAGCAUUUAUGCUCCGAGACA